rnacentral:lncRNA from 1 species
UUAGAUAUCACUGAAGGUGAACCUUCAUUUCAAAGUUGAAUACAAAUAUGUCUAUGUGCAGGUUGCAAUCGAAUCAGUUUGUCCAAAAAAAUUACAACACAGGAGAUAUUUGAGUUGGAUAUCCAUGAGAGUGAAGGAUUAAAUGGCUUUAUAGCAUUACAAACCACUAAACAAAAAAACUCAUAAACCAAAACUGAACUUCACCAUAGCAACCAAAGCUCAAUAGUCCUUUUCCAACUUGAAUCUUUUAAGACCUUGAACCAAAGAUAACCUUAGAGUAAUACAUGUUUGGCAAGGAUAUGACAAUGCCAAAAAACAUUCUUGAGUAGUUCUGACAUGCAUAUCGGUAAGGAAUCACUUCUAAUCAAUAUGAAACUAAGUAAAAUCAAUUCUUGUUUAAGCUACACAUUUAACAUUGAAUAGCAAAACUAAAUUAAAAAAGAACUUAGUGCUCAUGUGGCUUAAGCAAGAAAGUAGCACACCUAAAAAAAACCUCAAACACAUUUAUGUUGAAAUACUUAAAUAGGUACUACGGUUGUGUAGCACAUACAUGUAGCAGCAAAGAAGAACAAAAAGGAAAAAAAAAACUCUAAAACAAUUGGAAAGAUCAGUAGCGAGAAACCUAAUAGUAGCAGAAAACCACCAUGAAAAAAGAAACAACAGCAAGUAAAGCUAAAAAAAUCCAACUUCAAGAACCCAGAAAAUUUUUCUACUUAAUAAUUGCUGAAAAAUAUCGUCAACUUCUAUGUAAGACAAUCUUCAAAAUGAAGGAAAAAAGUGUCAAUUUUAAGACUGUAAUUUUUUGCUUGCCAAGUCUGUGAGGGAGAGGUUUGUAGCAAUAUUCUGUCAGCUUUCCUAAAAAUUUGAGAAUUGGCAUCUUUUGCAACUGACUUUGUACAGUUGUCCCUCUCCCAAAAACUUCUUCCUAUUUCCAUGUUUUCUUCCCUUUUUCUUAGUUUUGUGAUUUAUCUCUUGGGUCUAACUUCUAAACUAAAUGGUGAAAUAAAAAACAGUCAAAGAACCUAAAAAUCAUAAUAGAACAGUAACUUGUUAAACCUAAAAAUGGUAACUUAUUUUACCCUAAGUAGUAACUUAUUUAACCUAACAAACUAUACAAUUAGAUUUAUACUUAAAACUCAAAUUAAACUAACAAUCCUAAUUUGGAUAGAACAUCUAAUAUAAGGUUGAAAAAGUAGAAGAACUAUCUUGUUGGAGAAGAAAAAGAAGAAGAACAAAACAAAAGAAUUAAGGGAGAGCAUUUACCUAAUUUAAACUCGAGUAAAUCAACAAAGGCGGAAACCGACGAGCCAAAUGAGUUUUGGCAAGUAAUGAAAAUUGUCUCGCGAACAAUGGCUGGAAUUUCUUUGCACGACCAAUGCUAUACGUAGCACUUCUCAUCACAUCGGAAAUGGAGAGAAUGAACAAUCAGAAUGGGUUCUGGCUGGUCAAUAUGAAUUUGACCGAAUUCAAAUAGCUAUGAGGCAAGGUAGAAAUGCCCAUAAUUUGUGGUAUUCAGAAAAUGGAGUCGAUUGGUGCGAGUUUUGACUUCAAACGGGCUAAAAACAAAAAUAAAUCAGAAAGGGGAUGAAUUAGGUUAUCGAUAAUUUCAUAUUUGACAUUCGACGGGCUUGAGGAGGAUUUUGAAAUAAGUCGCCGCCACAAAAAAUUUACGAUGGACGGCAGACGAUGAUAAGCAAUAGGGGUGAGAGAGCGAGACGAGUUUAUUUA